UUGAUGAUACAAAAUUGACUGUAUUAGGAAACAAAAAGAUGAACAAAUAAGAUAUCCAUAAGCAAGGAUUUGAAGAACCAAUGCAUAUCGGUCUCCACUGAGAUGUCAGUAUACUACCCCACCAUCUGAUCCAUCCAUACUGAACCAGCAAAACGCUGAUACUGGUAUUACUACCAGUACUUUAAAGUUUAAGCCUUGUUGAUAAAAGAAUACUACAUACCUCGAUUUGUUGGAGUUUGGCUUGAAAGAGUUUUUCUCUGUCUUCCUCCUAGAAAAAGAUAAUAACUUAAGUUCAUAUAUUGUAAUAUAUGGCUAUUACAUAAUAGAUAAAAAUAAAUAUAUUUCAUCUUAUAUCGGAUAAAAGACUUCGGAAGUCCUGCCUUGAGACUUUGUCGAUCAGGAGCAGGGUGAGCAAGAACGAAGACACGGUCAAUAAGAACCACCACGGGUUCUUUGCCAAGGCUUUUCCAGGGAACCUACAUGCAAAAUUUUAGAAUUGAAAUCCGGUAAGCUGAAAUAAACUGAAUAUUUUCAAGCAUGCAAAGAUAACUACUAAAGUGCAUAAAAGCAAAUAACAUCAGCAUUAGAAAGACCAAGAAAAAAUUGCAAAUGUAAUAAUAUGUGCACUCAAACCAAAAACAUUAUUUCGUCAAUUAAAUAAUGUUAUUUUCAAACAAUUAGAGAUCCAUCAUAAUGGGCAACAAGAAGAUAUGGUACCGGGCGUACUGGUACCAGUGCUGGUGGCGUACCGACACUCGAUACCCAGACAUACCGCGUACCAUACCGUACCGAUACUAUGAUAGUGUGGUACCAAUACGGGGUUCAGUACCAGUACGGCGAACUUUGGUUUAGAUACAACUGAAAAAUACAUAUGACUAAAGUGUUACAGACACUCAAACAAACAUGAAUUACUUACUAUAAAAAUAUCAACACAAAAAAUGACUGUUAUUAAACAGCCACAAAAUUCACUAGUAUUUCGCAAUGUGGAACAAUAUUACAGGCAAGGUCUGUUAAACCAGCCCGAACCGGCCGGUUCAGCACAUAUUGUACCGGUACCAGCCCCUAUCGGUAUGAUUCGGCAUACGAUGGAGACAGCCCAAAGCAUCACCAUAUAUAUUUAUAACCAUACCUAAGUCCUUUCACUGAUGAGGAGGUUUGCAUUGGAAGAGAUUUUGAGAUCAGGAGUCACACGGUUUGCUACCAACUAUAUUGUACUUGAUAGCCUUCUCGAUAAGAAAGCAAUCCUACAUCAGAUGUUUGUCAGUGCCGACUGGCAGAAAAUUAAAUAUGCCCAGCACGGUCCCAAAAAGAGCAGGAUCGAAAACUUGAUGACAAGACAAACAUUCUGGCAGUGGGCCACUGCGAUAGUGAAAGCUAUCAAACUAUUAUAUGAAGUACUGCGGGCCGUGGAUAGCGAGAGAUACCCCUAGAUGGGCUUCCUAUAUCACAUGAUAUAGAGGACAAAGGCUCAAAUCAUGGAGGAAAAUCUAGCCCAUGCCCAGAAGUAUAUCGACAUCAUUAAGCGGCGGUAGAACAAUCAAAUGGGUAGAGACUUGCAUCUAGCAGUAAGCAAGAAUAUUGAAAAUUAGACUGCUCCUGUAUUUGUAUAAUUUUACUAAGACCAUCUGCUCUAUGUGUAGCAUACUAUCUGAACCUCCGAUUUCAGUACAACGUACCUGAAAUUGGUAUGGAUGACGAACUUCUGGCGGCUCUGCGUAAUGUCAUUUACAAGAUAGAGUCUAAUCCAGAAAUUGCAGCCUUAUAUCUAGAAGAGAUAACAAAACUUUAGUGGCAUAUGUAAGUAUACCGAUAUCUUCUAUUAUUAAUAUAGUACAACCCAGUUCUUUUUUGUAGAUCAAAUUAUUUAGAGAGGGCAGCCACAGCUUUGGGCUUUCAAAAGAAAGUGGAGCUCAAGUAUGCAGAUCUUAUCCAUAGGGCUUUCGUCAAUGUUGACGAUGAUCCUAUGAUCGGCUAGCUUGUGAGCCAGCAGCAGAAGCCAAAGCUUGACGAGCCAAGAUCGCCUCCAUGACCAGCCAGCUUCAUAGCCAACAAGGCUAGAGUCAAUGCAGAGCAAUAGACUGAAAACAAUAUUUCAUGUCUUCCCACAACUAAUCAGCCGCAGCCAUAAGAGAGCCAGUCACCUACUUUUUUUCUCGUUUGAGAUAUCCUCUCAAAGAGAUGAUCAAGAGAUGCUCAAAUGAAGACACUACGGUACCUGGUCGACUUGGUCAGAAGGGCGACAUAGCCAGAUAGAAAGGGGUAUGAAGAAUAAGAAGGCAGCUGCCUAGCAAACUAAAAAAGAAAAAUAAAAAGCACCAAUGGAGAGUAUCGAGAAGUCCGAGAGCAGCAAUAAUGACGGUUCUAGUGGUCAUGGAUCUGCUAGCUAUAGAGAAAGUGGACAGAAGACCACUGCUUAUGAGACACAGCCAGAGACUGAUCUUUAAUACACUGCAUGCUACACAGAAUAGGAACCACGAUACACGAUCUGGUAGAGCCCGCAAGGAUACAAUUACAUAUAAGAAACGGACUUUUCGAGGUCAUUCAGGAUAUGAUGCAAUUGCAGAAGACCUCGCACGUAGAGUAGAAUCCAUAGAUAUAUUAGGUUUGGAGUCGUAUAUUAUAUCCUAUUAUCCGCAGCCACAAUCUAUGACCCAUAUGGAUACGGAUAUAGAUAUGGUGCAUCUGAGGCAUCUUCUGGCGGCUACUAUCCUACGCAGCUCGAAGCAUCUCACGGGUCGAAUUUUGCUGCUAGCAUAUUCGGAUGGGCUCCUUCACAGCAGUAUUAUCAGUCAGAGAACACCUCUCGGAGCUAAAGCUUCAGCAAGAGAUCCGAAAGUUCUUGUAACCCGGCACGCGUUCCUUAUGGAUUGAGCAUACAAGACUACAACGUCGCUUAGUUAGAGGGGUGGGUUGAUCUACCUCUUUGUUAUGCUGAUGAUCCAAUCUACAAGAGGCAUCGCACUAGACCCGAUUUUAGAUAUCCGACAAUGCUUUAAAAGUAUAAAAUUGAUUGUAUCUUGAUUUGAAAGUAUUUUAUAUUAUUCAUUUUAUGAUUUGUAUCAUUUUAAAAUCAAUAAGAUGCAUCAUCUAGCUUAAACCGAGAUCAUAGAAACAUCAGAAAACAUUAAUAAAACAUUAAAUUAUACUUAAAUUUAUAAAAAAAUAAAAAGAGAACUCCCAAAAAAUUAAAAAAUAGGGGCCAAGAAUUGCCGAACUAGGCCAACCGGUUCGGUUCGGUUCGGUUGAAGGCGCACCUACUGUUACUAGAAGUCUAGUCAUGCCGACAUCGAUUCAUCUCAAUCUUUAAGGAAGAGAUCGACGAUCCCAAGUUCUUUUACUCGGUACCAAACCGGACUGGGCACCGACCGGACUGGGCGCCGACCGAAAUGGUAGCCGAUACCGGUUUGGUAAUCCUUAGCACCAACCCUUUACCAAGAACUUCGAUUUGUUGGAGUUUGGCUUGAAAGAGUUUUUUCUCUGUCUUCCUCCUUGAGACUUUGUCGAUCAGGAGCAGGGUGAGCAAGAACGAAGACACGGUCAAUAAGAACCACCACGGGUUCUUUGCCAAGGCUUUUCCAGGGA
rnacentral:lncRNA from 1 species